GACAAAACUUAUCCAGCGAACAGAUCUCCAUCUCAGGUAUGACUCUCGCUUAUUUGGAUUACUUGACGAUGGGUACCUAACUUCUUUCGCCGAUUUUCAUUGCACUGCUCUAUCAUUCCAGGCAUGGAUUCACCGCUCUUUUGGUUGAUUGAUAAAUUCUCCAUCUAAUUUGUGUUGUGGUAUUUAGGCUACACCAAUUCUCGGCGGUUCAUUCAAACGUUAUUAUGGAAGCAUUUUCCUAAGUGUUGGCUAGGUUUUGUUUUCAUGAACAAGUCUGCUAAGAAGGUUUUAUUUUAAUAAACAGGUAGAGGGCUACUAAGAAACCCACACCAGCGAGCUUCAGGUAUGAUUAAGGUUUUGUUUUCAUUGUUUCAUUUGUGUCAUUUAGCGAGCCUUUCAUCUAUGAAAUGGAAAGAUCUUGCAACUUGCAGAAGUGGUUUAACUUCACAGAAUGUUCGUGUUCCAUGAUAAUGUGUCAAUAAAGUGAUGCCUGGCUACCUAGGGUAAGUACGAUUAUCAAUCAAACUUUCAUAAAAAUGAUUAACCUAAAUACCUAAUGUUAAAUCUUGGUUAACAUAUACGAAUUCACUCCAGAAAAAAUAGCAAAUUAUUGUUUGUGGACAAAGAAUUGGCUAGAUAAGCGCUAAGAUAAAGAGUGAUAAUGGCGGGGACCAAAAUGACAGCUCGGAAACUCUAUUUUUAGAGAAACAAACUACUAAUAAUAUUUCUAUAGUGUGAUAAUUCUAACUGCUUAAUAGUGAUUUAAGAACUGUUGUGAUGACCGUCGAUGAAAUCAGGUUCUUAUCAAGGAUGCAUGACAAAUUUUGGCGCAAUGCACCUAAGCAUCAUAAGAUGCAGGUUCUUAUCAAGGCGUUCACAAUGAUAUGGUGUAGCGCGCAAGUGAAUGGAGGAACCCAAGAUUUGUAUGAGAUGCACAAUAUGAAGAAUAUCAGUAACGGUAAAUUUAUCUUCUACCACAUCAGUGAGAAUUGAAACAAGAUGAUAGUAGUAUGCACCUAAAAAAGUAUGUACUCAAUUGUUAAAUUGU